ensembl:snRNA U6 U6 spliceosomal RNA
GUACUAUGGGGAGGGUUGCACUGACUCUAUCAAGCAGCACAUAUACUAAAAUUGGAACAAUACAUAAAACAUCAGCAUGACCCCUGUACAAAGAUGUAAAUUUGUGGUGUUUCAUAUCUUA